rnacentral:misc_RNA from 1 species
GAUGAAGAACGCAGCGAAAUGCGAUAAGUAAUGUGAAUUGCAGAAUUCAGUGAAUCAUCGAAUCUUUGAACGCACAUUGCGCCCGCCAGCAUUCUGGCGGGCAUGCCGGUUCGAGCGUCAUUUCAACCCUCGAGCCCCCCCGGGGGCCUCGGUGUUGGGGGACGGCACACCAGCCGCCCCCGAAAUGCAGUGGCGACCCCGCCGCAGCCUCCCCUGCGUAGUAGCACACACCUCGCACCGGAGCGCGGAGGCGGUCACGCCGUAAAACGCCCAACUUUCUUAGAGUUGACCUCGGAUCAGGUAGGAAUACCCGCUGAACUUAAGCAUAUCAAUAAGCGGAGGA